GAAAGAUGAUCAGGUAGAUAGGUUUGGAGUGGAAGUGUGGCGACACAUGGAGCGGACAAAUACUAAUCGAUCGAGGACUUAACCUC
rfam:Listeria floridensis FSL S10-1187 c2, whole genome shotgun sequence.